AGGAGUCUGUCCUACUACAUUUCUGAUGGCUAAUCAUCCAGUGUUGAUUUGAAUUCGUACCUUACUCUUACUAGCUAUGACCCACUAUGGGUAUUUUUAAGAAAUGCAAAACAUUGAAAAGGCAUGAAAAAAAAUGAGGAGUUGUAAGCACAGUAAAAAGUUUAGAAAACUUCAAUGGAGCUUUGCUUAUGUUAGAGAAAAGAGAAAAUCUUAGGCAAGUGUGAUAAAGAAAUGACAAGAAAGAUUUCCAGAUGGGAAGACUAUGCACUUGCUCUGAAUCUGCACAGAAGAAGCAUCCUUCUGUGCUGCCUUUCUAUGCUUUAUGGUUUAUUAAAAAAAAAAAAAAAGAUGAGAGAGCAGACAUCUUGAGUGCAGAGUCCCAAGAAGAAAAAGAGAAGAAGAAGCUGACUUAUGCAUGACUAAUCAGUCUAAUGAUGGAGUACAAUCAGAAUUAGGAAAUUCAU